AUAAUUUAUCUCUGUGUUGUAGCUAACGCGUUAAGCACUCCGCCUGGGGACUACGGUCGCAAGACUAAAACUCAAAGGAAUUGACGGGGACCCGCACAAGCGGUGGAGCAUGUGGUUUAAUUCGAUGCAACGCGAAAAACCUUACCACUCCUUGACAUGGAGAUUAGAUCCUUCUUAACGGAAGGGCGCAGUUCGGCUGGAUCUCGCACAGGUGCUGCAUGGCUGUCGUCAGCUCGUGUCGUGAGAUGUUGGGUUAAGUCCCGCAACGAGCGUAACCCUCAUCCUUAGUUGCCAGCGGGUUAAGCCGGGCACUUUAAGGAAACUGCCAGUGGUAAACUGGAGGAAGGUGGGGAUGAUGUCAAGUCAGCACGGCCCUUAUGGGGUGGGCUACACACGUGCUACAAUGGUGACUACAAUAGGUUGCAAUGUCGCAAGGCUGAGCUAAUCCGUAAAAGUCAUCUCAGUUCGGAUUGUCCUCUGCAACUCGAGGGCAUGAAGUCGGAAUCGCUAGUAAUCGUGGAUCAGCUAUGCCACGGUGAAUACGUUCUCGGGUCUUGUACACACUGCCCGUCACGCCAUGGAAC
rnacentral:rRNA from 1 species